GGCGGUAGAAAGAGAGAACGACAGAGAGUGCGCGACGGAGGGAGAGAGAGAGAGCGCGGCGGAGGCAUAGAGAGAGACGCGGCGGUGAUGGAGGAACCGGCUAUGGUCUCCGGCCGACGGUAAUGUUGUCGAUCGUCGCUGAAUGGGAACUUGACGGCCGGGGGUUCUAGGGUUCCGGCGGCGGUAUCAGGUAACAAAGAGAAGAAAGAACUGGAAGGAGAGAGGCCCGGAACGGCGGCGCGCGGCCAGGCUGUGGCGGAGCAAAGGCGGCAAUACCGAUUUCCGUCGAGUGCACGGUUGGGAUUAAGUAAACAGAAGACAAAGAAGCUUAUUGUAGCAUCGGUUAGGUCACAGAAGCGGUUAUCAAGGUCGUACAAGAAGAACGAAAGCGCAUACGGUGGUCCCACAUCGAGCAGACAAUGCCGCUUCCGGCCAGAUUAGGGUUCCGUCCGUUAUCCGGUCACCCGCUUUCAUCUUGGAUGGUGGAUGGACAGCUCUGGUAGGUGAUUGUGUUGGGCGGUUCCCCUUGCAAAUAGAUUGUAUCAUUCUUAUCCGUUUUCGAUUAUAUCAUGGAAUACACCUAAUGUCGCUGAUGGUUUUCGAUUAGGGUUUGUGAGUUUUCAUAAUCGCUAAUGAAGUAAUAAAUUAUAUCAACUCAUCAUUCUGUUUAACAUGUGUUCAUGGAUGGUAAGACUUUUUUUUAGAUUACAAGGGUUUAGGGUUUCUAACAUUGAAUUUUCUAGAAUUAGAUGUGGAAGGCGCCGUUUAUGCAAAAAAUUAGGUUGACGUAUGGACUGAUGGCAACCUUGGUAGAGUAAUAAUUACCAAUUUUUGGUGGACCAGGAUGUGGAGACAGAACCGACGGCGGUUUUAGUGUACCACCGUAAUUAGCGGCGGAAACCAUCAUCUCAGAUAGGUUUACCAAGACUGACAGUUGCGGCUAUGUUGGGUACCAAAUCCUUAGGCCUUGGCGUAGUUAUAUGGAGAAGAGAGAAUUACAUAUCAACUGGAGCCAUGUGAAUACCACAAGAAUGGUGAUAUUUGGACCCAUUCUCACUUCUGGUUUGUAAUUCUUUGGAUUUACUAAAAUAACUUCAUGGUAAGUCUGAAGUACUUAUUAUUAACAUUUGUUAUUCAAAAACAAAAGAGAACCAAACAACAUAAAGGUAAUUUAUAUCCUUUUAUAGACAAGAAUUUGGCUGUAAAGGCACCUUUUUGUUCCUAUCUAAGCUCUAAUCAAAUAAAUGUUAAUUCCUAGACAAUAUAUGUAUUUAUGAAUAGUUAUCAGACUAGGUUUAGUAGUUAUCCAAAUAUAUAUAAGUUUCCUUGGCAAAAUAUUAUACAGUGUUGGGUUGUUGCUAAUAUGUUUUUUUUUUCUCAAAUUAUUCAGCAAAUAGGUGGACGUUAGGAAAUCUAAAAGCAUCCUGCUGUGUAUUAUGUACAUAACUCUCUGGACGCUGUGGAAAGAACGAUAUGGUUUGGUUUUUAGAGAUUUGAAGAGAUCGGCUGAUAGAGCGCGCGAAGACAUCAUCUCCUCCUUAUUCAAUUGGAUUAAUCACAGGUCUAAAAAUGUGGUCUGGGCUUCCUGUAUCCAGCUCGCUGGAGGCCUUUUGGCUUCAGCAAAUGGGUAUGAACUGAAGUUGUGAUGAAUUAGUAUUAUAACAUGAUAUACAAUCAAACAGUUUCACUUAGAUUUGACAUUGCAGAUUGUAUUUUUUUUGGUAACAAGUCAUACUACAGCUUGCAUUUUGUAGUUUUGUUAUCAACAAAAAAGGUAAAUGU
rnacentral:lncRNA from 1 species